CCAUGCGAUUUCUGGGAAUUCUUUGUGUGGUGUCCACAUAAAUGACUAAUUGGCAACUUUUAUUGUUUACACCAUUGGUCACUAGCCGGAUGCCAUAGAGAGUGCACGUGCUUCCCUCCCACGCCUUUGCAGUUUUCCAUGCUGUAACCAUGAAACGAAGCAGAUACAUUAGUGAUGAGGUGUUGGAGCUACUAGUCAACUCCGACGAUUUCCAGCAUGACCUUGACAGUACCGCAGGCGAGGUCAGUGAUGCCAACACUACCGUUGACGCCGUGCAAGGAGGUCACCCUACACAGGAGAACAUGCCCCAAGGAGGCAGCAAGAUAUGUAUGCAGCUCGGGAUUGGAAGGCACCUGGCAAUAUCGAGUGAUGCAUGUAGUAUAUAUUUCUAGCUUUAGUUUUUAGUAUCAGUUAAUUUCAUGAUCUCAGGAACCAAAAAAUUAAGUACUUUUUUUUCUUAAGAUACUUUUUUUUAUAAUUAUUCUGGAAAUUCAUUUUUGUUUAUAUUUCAUUCAUUUUUGUGUUUGCAGGCAUCUACGAACCUUAUACUUUCAGUUUAGCAUUAUUUGGUUUAAAUAAAAUAAGUUUGUAUAUAUAUAUAUUUUUUUUUCCUAAAAUGAUUCCAAUUGGAUACCGUUUA